AGAGUUUGAUUCUGGCUCAGGAUGAACGCUGGCGGCGUGCUUAACACAUGCAAGUCGAACGAAGCACUCUAUUUGAUUUUCUUCGGAAAUGAAGAUUUUGUGACUGAGUGGCGGACGGGUGAGUAACGCGUGGGUAACCUGCCUCAUACAGGGGGAUAACAGUUGGAAACGACUGCUAAUACCGCAUAAGCGCACAGGAUCGCAUGAUCCGGUGUGAAAAACUCCGGUGGUAUGAGAUGGACCCGCGUCUGAUUAGCUAGUUGGCAGGGUAACGGCCUACCAAAGCGACGAUCAGUAGCCGACCUGAGAGGGUGACCGGCCACAUUGGGACUGAGACACGGCCCAA
rnacentral:rRNA from 1 species